UUUUUUUUUUUUUUUUUUGUUAUUUUUUCCCCCUAUUUCACAGAAUCACAGAACAGGUCAGGUUGGAAGGGACCAUCUAGCAGGGUCAUCCCAGAGCACGUGGCACAGGAUCGUGUCCAGGCUGUUCUUGAGACUCUCCAGUGAGGGAGACUCCACACCCUGUCGGGGUAACCCAUUCCGGUCUCGGUCACUCGCACAGUGGCCAAGAAGUUCUUCCUUAUAUUCUGACGGAACUUUCUGGGCAUCAGUUUCUGCCCCUUGCCCUGCACUGGUUAUACACUCUCUAUUUUAAUAGAGUCACUAUAAGGCAGGUAUGAAGGAGGUGAAAUGCGACAGCUGGAGGCUCAGAAGACAACAAUGGAAAUAUGCUUGCCACGCAAUCAGGAAGCUGAGGAGCUCAGUUUUCUGUGAAGGGAGGUACUACAGGUGGGUGGAAGAGCAAACACUGGAAAUGUUGAGAAACCAGCAGUAUGAACAAAAAAUGCAGUGCCAAACCUAAUAGCUUUCACAGACCUCAGUUACUGCUCAGGCUGAACUUUAUUUUGCUCUGCAGGAACCUGUUAACGUUCACAGCCUGAGGGUCUCAGAUGAAUCUCCAUGUAUUCUGUGUGCCACCACAGCAGACAGGCUUUGUUGCAUUGGUGGUGUCCGACUGGGCUCAGGGAGCAAGUAUUCUGAGAGGUCUCACUAUUUCAAGUUCCCAGUGUGAUCAGUCAGGUUUCUUUCAGGACCACCUGAAGACCAGUAAGUCACCAACACAUUUUGCAUGCUCCCCUGCUCCAUUUUCAAGCUGAAACAGCUGCUCAAGUAACCCUCCUGGCUGAGAUCUUAAAACAAGGCUUUAAGAGAAAGUAGGAGAAGAAAAAGGUCCUGGCCAGGAGUCAGUGUGACCACUUGCAUCUCAUCACCUUGUUUGAUUGCUCUGAGAGACCAAAAAGCACACAAAAUACAGAGGAUGUAUUCUCCGUCCAGCACUGUCAUUUAAGGCAAAUAUGCAGCCCCCUGCAUUUCCAAGCUCUUUCCAUUCUCCCUGCCUCUCAGUACUGCACUGCAGUAAGCUGGGAAUUGGUAAGUACUGACACAAGAGAGCUUGUAAUGGUCUGAAAAAACUUGGCCCCACCUGGUGCAGUUUUCAUGGGAGAGGGCAUCACCCAGAUGGUGUAACUCAGAGCUACAAACUGGUAAGGGGGGGGGGCAAUGCAGAUCAACCCACCAUUUAUUUACCUUCUGGGCCUCUGCCUGAGCUCCCUCUGAGUGUAUUUGAGAAUCUGUCCCAUGGUCUUUGUCCAAGUAAAUGCAGCCUAAUGCAUAUAGGAGACAGCUUUCUAAAAAUAAAAUCUGAAAUCUGUUUCUUGCAUAUAAGAAUGUGCUCUGAAAGUCUGUUUUUGCCUGAAUGAUGAAAAAAAAGAGCGUGUAUGAUUACUGAAGAUGUCACCAGGAGAGAGUAAUGGUUGUCACCCAAUUAAUCAAGUCUCUUGAUAUUCAUAAUAACAAUAAUAGCUUUCAGACAUAUGACAUGAUUCUGAGCUGAACACCUGUUAAUUGCAUAGAGACUUUCUCUUCCCCUUAAUCAAAGUCAGCGGAGAACCAAUAGAAGAAACACACUGAAGCUAAACCUGGUCUCCCUACGUGAUUGUAUGGCACCAGGAACAGGGAGUUCUGGCUUUGGAACCCACAGGUGCUGUGUCAUCUUACAGCAGUGCACAUGCAGCAACUUAGGUGGAAAAGUUUCUAAUUUGGCUUUGCUGAUCCCUUAAUUACCUAAACAUACAAUCCCAAUUUGUUAAUGUGUGAAACUGCAUUUCACAGAUGCUGAUGAUGGGUGAGAGUCUAUUUCUGUGUGGAAGCUGCAAGCAAAAUUCCCACUGAUUUCAAGAAGGAAGGAAGAAGGAAACUUUCUUGACAGAGGUUACUCAAGAGGCUUUUAGAGGGCAACAUCCUCAUUCAGAUGAGCUAGUUUUCACGUGUCCAGAUAUCCUGGACUCUGGAGCAAUUUUAAUUUGCCAAGCCUAUCAUGUGAGAGAUGAUGCUUGACUCCGUCCCUUCCAGUAGUAACGCACCUGUACGCUGGAGUCUUGGACCAGGCAGAGCUGCUCCUGGAUCUUCUGGAGCUCCUCCUGCUGCCAGCGGAUGUUGGCCUGCAGGAUCCGUGUCCGCUGCUCUAGCUGGUCCUUGAUGGUCUGGAACAUGCUGAACUGUGCAGAGAACUGGGGGGAGGAAAUAAAAAAAGAGGGGGGGAAAAUCAGUCAUAAUACAAACAGGCCUCAGUAUAACAUUGUUCUGUAAGGAGUUACUGGUGUCUUGAUUGUAAAGCACAGCUAAAAAAUAAAAAUGUCUUUGUAAUAUACUAACAUGUAGAGACAGACGUCUAUUUUCAGGGUUAUGCACAUAUAUUAAAUUUCCUCAGCUACAAUGAUCUGCUUACAGUUGACCAUGUACUGUUGUAAGGACUGUUUUUGGGAGUAUGCUACUUUAAAAUAUCAGAGCAUCUUAACUGGAUGGCAAAUGAGUGCAUUAUUUUCAUCAGCUUGUAAUUUGGAGCCUUUAGUGUGGCAUAACAGUAUAAUCCAGAUGUGUUUUACUAAUGCUUUCCUUUUUCAGAACAGAAAUAGCAGUUCUGCAAUGCUUUGUUCUGCUGAUGACUUACUAAGGCAUCAUACAAUAGACCACAAUAAACAUUUUCUAGAUUUGUACAGCUGAGUAGUACUUAAAUGACAAGAAAUACUCAUUAAGUUAUUUUUAUAUGUGAUAUAAAAUGAAUAGCUCAACUCAGUGGAAGAAAGGCUGUUCUAAAUAAUAGUAAAAAAUGGAGAUCAUUAAUCAAGGUCAAGAAGCAGGUGCAACCUCCAAUAGCAGCAAUACUGACACAAACUGAAAUAAUUCAAGAGUUGUGGAGAGGACUAACAGCAAUAAAUCCCUAGUAUUUGAUGCUUUCAGGUAUGAUUCAAAGUUCACCAAAGUUAAUUAUUACUUUAAUAGGCUUUGGAAUAAUUGCUUUUGAUAAGCUCAUAUUCCAAAAGUAAAAAACAGUCUUUGAAAAAAAGAACAAAACCCUUCAAAAAACCUUUUUAAGUUUUUAUGUAAUCAAGGCAUCCAAGAUCUUCUUGAAAACAUGCAGGGCUGUGAGUGUACAGGCAAAAAAUAAUUAAAUUGCUGUGACUUGAAAAUGCUGCCUUGUCCCUAUAUUUGGUCCAGUGGCUCUGUGCUAGUGGGUGAGCUGAUGCUUGCUGCUGGAACCUUCUUGCUCCAUGGUGCACCGGCUUACAUAGCUUCUGGCUUUUUAGUAGGGAAAAAAAGAUAACAAGGCAGGAAUUAAGGAGUGCUCUCAUGCUAGCAGCACUGUACACUUCCUUUGAUAAAAUUUUUGGCUACUUAGAGAAAGCUAAAUGUGACAGAACAGAUUUGUAUCAGCUAACUAGUUCACCUUAAACCAGUUAAGUAUGUGAGAGUACCUUUACAUUCCCUCUAGCAAAGCUGAGGGAAAUGGCCUGGCAGAGAAAGAGCGAGAACUUCAGAAGGUUUAUUUCCAUUUAUCAGGCAGAGGGUGGCUUUCCCACACAGCCUGGGAGGUCACUGCACAGAGUGGUGGCCAGGUGGAGGUCAGUCUCACAGCCAGCUCUGCUUAGGGGCAAGGAGGGCUGCUAAGGUGGCACCUGCAGUUGCUGGUGACAGAGCCCACUUUGCUGCCAGAGGCAUCUGUGAGCACUCGCAGCUUGCGCCGUCUGCCCAAGCAGGUGAUGUGAGCCUCAGCCCUGCUGUGACUCGUGGUGCCUGUGCCUGCAAACAGCAGCACCAUCAUCUGCAACCUGCUCCUCUCCCAGAGCAGGAAGAUGGUAUGAAACCUCCCAAAGGGAAGUUUGUGUUACUUGGAAUUGGUGUUACAGAAGAGAAGCCAGAGCAGGGUCUCCUUCUUUCUUUCUUUCUUGUCCAUGUAUAAAGCAUUAACCCGAGGAGUGGUUGAGCAGAGACCUCAGAUGUUUGGGAAUAAGAACAAGUGACUCAAAGGGGAAUCUAGGGCUGCUUGUUGUAGCCCAGCCUUUUGGUUCUGAAGAGCCCCAAGUACCCUGAUUUUAGGAGCGGAAUGAUGCUGUGAGCAACAGAUCAUAGAGGAGAUGCAGCUAAUUCCUGCUUUAACCUGGCAUGUACAGAAGGAUCUUUUAAAAAGACAACUCUCAUAAUCUAAUUAUCUCUAUAUGAACUCUUUUAGCGAGGACUGCUUUUAAGUUUUUAAAAGGAUCCUAAUUAGAAAAGGAAUUAAAAACAGUUUUAGCAAAGAGCUUCAUUUUAACUGCCCAGCUUGGCGAUAGCAGACUUAACAUGCAAACAUGCAUUGAUUAACAUGCAAAUUCCUUGAUGACCCUUUGAGAAAAGAACCUGAUUUUCUUCAACUGAUCAGUGUAAGGAAUUUUAAACCAGGCAAUUUCACAAUCCUUUAUACUUCAAAAUGAAACAAAAUCCAUUCUCAGGCCUUAGUUUUAAAUUUGAAUUUGCUUUGUAAAGUUGCAUACAAGAAUGUAUUGCUGUUGAUUUUAAAUUAUUAUUCCUUAUUUUUUUGUGCAGGUUCUUAUAUUUAGUAUUUUCAUUUUACAUUGUCUUUUUGUUCUCUUUUUCACAUGCUUUUUGUAUUAAUAUACUUAACAUCAACAAUUAGCUGGUAUACUGGAGUAGAAGCUGUUAUGGAUGAAGACAAGGAACUUUCUCUUUUGCUUUUUUCCUUUUCCCAUCUAACCCCCAAAUUGUUGAUAACUCUAACCAUGACCCCUGUGCUUACAGAGCUUCUAUUGUUUUUGUACAAUGAGACACUAACAGCAAUUGACCUGCUCCAGAGAGUAUUUAUCUCAAGAUCAUUAACUGCUCUACUAAUUAAGGGAGAAAUCUCUAAUUGUACAAUAAAUUAAAAGACCUUAACUCAAAACAUUCCACAGAAAACACUGCCCAGCUUUAACUCUGCCAUUGGCAUCAGAUGAAGCUGCUCUUCAUUUCACUUGGUCUUUACAUAUGUCCACAGAAUUCUUAGGUAAGUGCAUGUAAUACACAGAAAAGUGUCAUCUUCCUAGAUACAGUCAAACAUGGGAGACAACCUGUGAGAUCUGUAUAGUUGCACCAGUUUAAUCAAGGUUUGUUAAUGCAGGCAAAAAAACCCCAAAACCAAUCCAAAGAAAGCAAAACCCACAGCAGCAGUAAUUUUAGUCUGAUUUCUUAAAAAAAAAAAAGUAAAAUAAAGUGACACAUUUGGGAUCACGUCAGCAGAUGUUCAGGUGGGGAGGGGCUUGAAGCACUACUGCUGGUGAUGGUCCAGGGAGGCUCUACAGCCCAGGGAGAGGGACUGGCACUUCCAUGCUAUGAUUCCUCUCCUCCACCAUGCCCACGGAGAGAGGUUUUUCUCCACUGAGUGCUACCCCACAGUGCCAGGGUUACUCCUUCUCUCUAGGUGCUGGGGGGCUGCAGCCAGGGGCGGGGACCUACGGCCCCUGUGUCUGUCAGGAUGGUUCCUCAUUUCUAAUGUGAUGAACAAAAAGAUAGAUGUCCCAAGACAAUCUGUUCCUACAAGUGUCAUGACAAUAGGUAGCUGGGUAAAGAAAAGAGACCCUAUUUGUUUUGUAGCUCAGUUUCCUUUGAAACUUUAUUUUCUGCCUACCUUCCAACUUUCAAUUCUUCUGGCCCAAUAGAUGAGCCAUGUUUCUUGCUGGAGACAUUCAACAGAGUUGUGAGAGUGUCAAAAAUACCAGACUGAUGUAGCUUAAUGGAAGCUUUAGCUGAGCAAAGGAGAGAAGGAUCCACUCAUCCCUUGCUCCUGUGGGAAAGGCUGGCUCCAUGCACCAGCCCUGCAAGCCACAGCCCUUGGGAAACUGGAUUUCAUUAGUUUUGCAGCUCACCGAACGACUUGUUCUUUCUUUCUGUCAUCUGAAUAACACCUGCUCAAUCCCAAACGGAUUAUUAGUGUUAAUUAUUAUUCAGUCAUCAACAUCCGCUGUGUUGCAGGGGAUUUUAAUUUAUGACAAUGAAGAAGGCAAACAAACAAAUAUUCUAAUUAGGAGCCCUUGGUUGAAAGUAAACCAUUUACAUUCAGGUGACAUCUAGGGUGACACUGUGAUGUCUGUUCAUUCACACAAGCAAGGCAUAAGCUAAAAUCACAUUUCAGUGGAGACAAAACCAUUACAGCCUUUGCUGGAAAUAAACCUACUCAAAGUUCAAGCAGAUGGUGCCCGAGGCAGCAGCUAGCUGCUCACUGCAGACACAGUUGUGGCCACUUAUAAUGUUUUCCCUGCUGCUGCCACCCUGUAGCCAAAUGUUAGCCACAAGGAUACCCAGGGCCUUCCAGCUCCCACCAUCAGUCACCUUCAGCUAAGGACAAGUGGCAGAAAGGCAGCAGAGAGAAACCUGUUCAGCUCCUCCUUGCAAGCUGGCAGGGAAGAACCUGGCCACACUAUUUCUACAAGCAACGGGCUUGUGUUUUGCCUCUAAACUGCUGGGAAAUGGUCAGCUAGGAAGCCAAAAAAGUGUUCUUGGUGAGAUGCACAUGUACCUGGUUUUGUCCCUCACUCACUUAGUGCUGCAGGCACCUUUGUCUUUUGAAUAAUUAAUUAUAUUGCUGUGGGCUGACAUGUUAAUUAUUUUAAAGUGGGACAUAUAGUGUAGUAUCAUAACAUUCAUAACAGUUUAUGAAAAUCACCCAAGUGUGUGGAGACUUCGUACUCUCUACAGGAGUUUUGCUAUGGAGUGUGAACAUCAGCAGCCUGAGCUGCAAUGUCCUGGUGUUAUUUCCCUGCUCCAUGUCAAGCUUCAUCCUGAGCUUUGCCAGGAGUACUGCUGUGACUGCUGCCAGAGGGCUGCCUGUGUAGACAGACUCGAGUCAGCCCUCUUCCUUUCACCAAGAUUUAGGUGGCCCAAAGAUGCUUAAACAGUGACUGUAAGGCACUCUAAUUUGUCAGAAAAAAAAUGGAACUGGUGUGCCAGUAAGAGCCUUUCACUGGGAAGGGACAAGGCAGCAGGGGUCUUGGUAAACAACUGGAAAGCUUCUCUUCACAAAGAGCUUUGAUGGAGAAGAAAGGGAGGUAGAAAAAAAGUCAAACAAAACACACAGAGACUUAUAAUACAUAAAGUAAUUGAUGUUUGAAAAUGCAUUAAUGAAUAACGGAGAGAAGUAUCUGUAAAAGAAAAUGAAUGUUCAGAGCAGAUAAUUGAUAUGCUGUUUAUUCGCUGCAUGCUAGCGUGGAGUCAUGAAGAGAAUAUUAAACAUGGAAGAUAAAUGAGAAUUUGUUAUUUCAAAGCCAGUAUCCUUAGGACUUUGUAUGCAUUAUGUGCUACAGAAAUAAACUCCGGGGUCUUGUGAAUGAGUAUAUGGUAUCAAUGGUAGAAGCAGUCUGGGUCCAGCAAUACUCUGUCAUUCCUAAAAUCAGAGGAUGAUGGGGUGUAUCAUCACAGCAGAACCACAGGAGAAAACAAUGAGCUGGGAACAUGGUACUCAAAUCAGCUUCUUCAAAAUCCACUGCAAAUGUAACCCUGAGGUGACGUUUUGGGCCAUCACCCGCUUUUGAGAUAUGGUUUAAUAGAUUGGAGGAAUCUGAAAUUUGUCUUCAGUGGCAUCCUCUCCAUUACUGGCACACUCACAAAAUGGGUGUUGUUAAAUUUGCAUGUCCUUUACUGCUGGUUAGUUCUAUAUCAGCACAGCCAAAUAGGCGUUUUUAGCAGACUGGAUGUCUCUGUUAGUUUUUGGUUUUAAUUCUCAUUGUGAAUUUGAUCUUGAAGGGACCUGGUUGUGUAAAAGUGAAGUUGAAAAGUCUUUUUCCAUCUGUUUUUUGUCCUCUCAUGAAACAGAUGCGUGCACACCUGAACCUACACACACCUGGGCUUCUGAACACCUGCAUGCAGUUAUAUGUUUAAACAUACAAGUGUACAAUUCAGAUUACUUUCCCACAAUAUUUUAAGUGUUUGAGAAUUUGGAUUUGGGGAUUUUAGUUACUAGAGAUGUAACUUAAAAGCCCCAAAAUGAGAAAGUAUCAGGAGAUAAGCAAGUGACCUAUUCCACUUCCAAAUCCCCAACUAACCUGUGCCAGAGGUGCAGGCUGAUUUUGCAGAGUUGCUUGAGGCAGCAACUGCUGUGGGAGAAGCUCACAUGGAAGCUGAGAAGGCAAAGAAACCUAGGUUAAAAACAAAACAAACCAAAACUUUAUUUGUAAGUUUGGCUCCUUUAAAUUUUAGGUUUCUUCUAAUGCUGUGGCUUCUGUGUAAGUUGUUUUUAAUUGCUAAGCUGCGUAUGUGGCACAUGCUGUUACACCCUCUGCCUGUUUCCAUGAUUCCUUGUGAAGUUACCUGAAGAGCAGUAGGCUGGCUGAGUCUAUGCACAGAUAAAUCCUGCUGUGUGCUCGGUGUUCUCGGCAAGGGAGUGUUAGACUCCGUGAUCAGCUUUGUCGGUGUAGCUGCAAGGAAAGUACCAGUGAGAUCUUACAUGCUGGAAAUCAACCCUGUUUGAAGUGGGUAAUAUGACAAGACCUGGGCAGAAAUUGUAAUGGCCUGGCUAAAUUCUAGUGGGAGUCAGGGCUGUUCUUGUUGAUUUCAAUGGCAGUAAAAUUAAACUGAUAAGGAGGGUCUGGGCAAAGAUAAAAGUAAAUGAGACAAAUUAUGGUUCUAUGCUCCAAUGAGCAGUGCAAAAGGACCCAUGAACUGUUCUAAACCAGCUGGAACUUUAUAUGGGAUAAAUAACUGUAAAUUUAGGUUAGCUCAUUGGCUUUUUUUCCAGACCAGGAAGCAGAAAGAGUAUACCCAGGUCAACCCUGAAGUAUCCUAAAUCUUGGCCAGAGGAGAGUCACCCACAGGCUAUUACUACUCAUGUAAGUCUAGAGAAGUCUCAUAUUGCUCACACUGGUGCCCUCAAAUCUAAGGACAGAGUCCUCACUUUUGUAACAGAUUGAAACAGCACAUUUCAUGUCUAAUCCCAUUGUUCAUCUUCCAGCAUUCAGGUGGUUGUGCUAGAACCUUCUCUCCUGUGCAUUACCAUUUCAGCUUUUGCACUUCUCUGUCAGUGCACAUCAUCAAUACCUCAUCAUUUACUGUUAAAUUAGCAGCUGUGGUAUAUAAGCACACAUUCUUUAACUUGGCUAAAUUAAAAAUAAUUUCAUAACUCAAGAAUGCCACUCACAUGCUGGGUCUGACUUGGGUGUGUGGGAAGAUUUUGGCGAGCUCCUGGAUGAUACUGAGGGUGUCCGACUAGCGCUGAGGAUUGAGGCACCAAUAUCAAGUGCAUUAAAGUGCUGUUCAGGAUCCAAGCUGGCACCACUCUCCUAAAACAAACCAGAAAAGGAGAACAGCUAUUGCAUCUGUCAGAGGUAAAGCAUUUUGAUAUUUAGUAAUGGUUGCACUCCAGUUCUCUGGCAGACCUAAAAUGACUUGAGCAGAACUAAUCUCAGGUAGGCCAGCAGAAGACCUGGACAAAGGCGUCAAUGCCCCUUCCAAACAGCAUCCAACUAAUGCAUUUUACAAACAACUAUCACUGAGCUAGAAAUAAAUAGCAAGCUACUGCCAUAGUCACUUUGUGCCUUCAGAUGUUUUUCUUUCUUUUGUGUUCAGUUGGAUGUGACAGCAACUGCAACCUCUGCGAGACACUUGGCCAUGCACUGAGGACGAGUUUUGUUGUCUUUCCUCAAGAGAUCACUGAGGUGUAGCCAAGAGGGCUGAUUGCCAGAACUUGUCCAAGUGAAUCUGAAUCUUUAAACUGUAGUACCUUGCCAAGGAAAAGUGAGAUAUCUCACACUGCCCCUGCUCAUGUUCCUCUUCAUUUGUGGCUGUUACUGAUCUCCAGGUUCAUCCUUUGAUAAACUCACCUGAUUUAUGUCAAAUUAGUUCAAAGAGCAACGAGUUCUGAAGUUGAGAUAAUCCACCAACAUCGGAGAAAGGCAAUGCUGGAGUCUUCAGUGACGUUAAUAUAGGAACAAGUUGUGAUCACUACAUAAAUUCAUAAAAAGCUUUUCUCAUUGUACCUUUAGUGCUGAGGACACCACCUCUGAGGACACUUCUUCCAAGCCCAUCUCCUGUCUCCUCUCCACCCGAACAUCUGCAUAACUGAAUGGAAAACAAGUCUAUGUAUCAACAUGGAACUGCUUAAAAUGUGCUUUAAGAGAGUGGAGGAACAAAUUACUGUACAUUUUACAGGUUAAAUGAAGAGCUGAAAAGUGACUUAAGUCAAAUGCUACUGAAUAACAUUUGAGAGUGUUUUAAUUUUCAGGCUUUGCUCUGUUCCUAUCUUGAAGUCAAGAUGCAUAUUAAAGAACGAUAUAAAAAGG